CUCUCGGUAGGGGACCUGCGGAGGGAUCAKUAGCYAGGAGUGMCCUAGGCUCUCCAACCCAUUGUGAACUUACCAAACGUUCCCUCGGCGGGCUCAGCGCGCGGUGGCCUCCGGGCCUCCGGGCGUCCGCCGGGGAAAACCAAACCCUGAUUUAAUCGUAUUUCUCUGAGGGGCGAAAGCCCGAAAACAAAAUGAAUCAAAACUUUCAACAACGGAUCUCUUGGCUCUGGCAUCGAUGAAGAACGCAGCGAAAUGCGAUAAGUAAUGUGAAUUGCAGAAUUCAGUGAAUCAUCGAAUCUUUGAACGCACAUUGCGCCCGCCGGCACUCCGGCGGGCAUGCCUGUCCGAGCGUCAUUUCAACCCUCAGGCCCACCCUUCCGGGGGAGCGGGCCUGGUUCUGGGGAUCGGCGGCCCUCGCGGCCCCCGUCCCUCAAAUUCAGUGGCGGUCGCGCCGCAGCCUCCCCUGCGUAGUAGCACAACCUCGCACCGGAGAGCGGAACGACCACGCCGUAAAACACCCAAUUUUUUAAGGUUGACCUCGGAUCAGGUAGSARUACCCGCUSMACUUAAGCAUAUCAUAA
rnacentral:rRNA from 1 species